GUACCCUUGCCUGGACAGAACAGAAUCUCCUGUAAGGAAUACCUGACAAUAUGUGCCUCCUACGGGAGCGUGUGCCUACUUCUUGACCUUGUUCAGUGUAAACUGAGAGAAAGAAGGAUUUUCUGUUUCAGGUACCUGUCACAAGAACCCAAAAAUGACCAAGUGCUGUGCAGAACUGUAAGUUUUUUGCUUUCUGAUAUCAUGGUACAAACAUUUUAUUAUUAUUAUUAUUUUUUUUUUCCAUUCAUUCUCCUUCAUGACAUCACAUUCUCUUAUGUCAGGUCAAAAAGGCCUGGGAAAGACAGUGUAAUGGGACACCAGUGUGGCUGUUGCCUCUAUUCAGUCACCUAAAGGCUUUGCUUCUUUCUAAGUGUCUCUGAUCUAGUGCAGCUGUAAGAUUGCUGUUGUUUUUUUUUAUUUUUUUUUUAAUUUUUUUUAUUUCUGAGGAGUAAGAGGUUGAGUUUUGAAGAAGGAUUUUCA
rnacentral:lncRNA from 1 species